GGACUACUGGGGUAUCUAAUCCUGUUUGCUCCCCACGCUUUCGUGCAUGAGCGUCAGUGCUGGCCCAGGAGGCUGCCUUCGCCAUCGGUGUUCCUCCACAUCUCUACGCAUUUCACUGCUACACGUGGAAUUCCACCUCCCUCUGCCACACUCCAGCUCGCCAGUCACAAGCGCAAUUCCCAAGUUAAGCUCGGGGCUUUCACACCUGUCUUAACGCGCCGCCUGCGCACGCUUUACGCCCAGUAAUUCCGAUUAACGCUCGCACCCUACGUAUUACCGCGGCUGCUGGCAC
rnacentral:rRNA from 2 species